UACGGAGGGUGCGAGCGUUAAUCGGAAUUACUGGGCGUAAAGGGCGCGUAGGCGGUGAAGUCAGUCGGGUGUGAAAGCCCCGGGCUCAACCUGGGAACGGCAUCCGAUACUGCUUCGCUAGAGUAUGGUAGAGGGAAGCGGAAUUCCGGGUGUAGCGGUGAAAUGCGUAGAUAUCCGGAGGAACACCUAUGGCGAAGGCAGCUCGCUGGGACGGUACUGACGCUGAGACGCGAAAGCGUGGGGAGCAAACAGGAUUAGAUACCCUAGUAGU
rnacentral:rRNA from 1 species